rnacentral:misc_RNA from 1 species
GAGUCGUAACAAGGUUUCCGUAGGCGAACCUGCGGAAGGAUCAUUACCUAGAGUUUGGUGGACUUUGUCUGCUAUCUCUUACCCAUGUCUUUUGAGUACUUACGUUUCCUCGGUGGGUUCGCCCGCCGAUUGGACAAUUUAAACCAUUUGCAGUUGCAAUCCAGCGUCUGAAAAACAUAAUAAUUACAA